GGUGGCUCAGUGGUAGAGUGAUUGCCUUGCAUGCAGGAGGCCCUGGGUUCGAUUCCUCAGCACCA
rfam:Dipodomys ordii contig_40468, whole genome shotgun sequence.